UUGAUUCACAAUAGCAAGAGAGAUGCACAAUGUCUAGAAACGUGGAAGACAUGAAGACAUUUAAUUAGGUAUUGUGACAGCAGAAUGCAUUUUGAUUCGUUUUACACAAUUGCACCAUAACUUUUCAUUUCUGUGGUUGUACACAAUGUAGCUUUGCACCAUAUGGGCAGUCACACAUGUACUGAGGUCUAUCUCAUUCUACCAUCUUUCCUACCCCCAUGCUCCAGCCUCAACCCUCCCUCUCCUUUGCCCCCUCAAAGUUCCUCCAUCCCCCCCCCAUUAUGGAUCAGCAUCCACUUAUCAGACAGAACAUUCAGCCUUUAGUUUUGGGGGAUUGGCUUACUCUGCUUACCAUGAUAUUCUCCAACUCCAUCCAUUUACCUGCAAAUGCCAUGAUUUUAUUCUCUCUUUAAUGUUGAGUUAAUAUUCCAUUGUGUAUAUAUACCACAUUUUCUUUAUCCAUUCAUCUACUGAAGGGCAUCUAGGUUGGCUCCACAGCUUAGCUCUUGUGAAUUGUGCUGCUAUGAACAUGGAUGUGGCUGCGUCCCUGUAGUAUGGGCUGAUUUUCAGUCCUUUGGGUAUAAGCCAAGGAGUGGGAUAGCUGCGUCAAAUGGUGGUUCCAUUGCAACUUUUCUAAUGUUCUUUUUACUUUUUAAAAAUUCCACAUUUCUCAAUUGGACAUAUUUCAGGGUACAGUGUUGGUAAUUUGAUGUCGCUCAACAAAGUGCAAUGAUCAAAUCAGGUCAGUUUGCAUUUCCAUCUCCUUAAACAGUCCUCGUUCCUUGUGUUGGGUCACUUAGACUAUUUUAGAUUUUUUUCAGGAAGCAGCCCAGGGCUGAGUUUUUCCACCACAUCA
rnacentral:lncRNA from 1 species